GAGACAGCAGUAGCCGCGGUAAUACAGAGGGUGCGAGCGUUAAUCGGAUUUACUGGGCGUAAAGCGUGCGUAGGCGGCUUCUUAAGUCGGAUGUGAAAUCCCUGAGCUUAACUUAGGAAUUGCAUUCGAUACUGGGAAGCUAGAGUAUGGGAGAGGAUGGUAGAAUUCCAGGUGUAGCGGUGAAAUGCGUAGAGAUCUGGAGGAAUACCGAUGGCGAAGGCAGCCAUCUGGCCUAAUACUGACGCUGAGGUACGAAAGCAUGGGGAGCAAACAGGAUUAGAUACCCCGGUAGUCCCUGUCUCUUAUAC
rnacentral:rRNA from 1 species